CAUAAUUUCUUCGAGUGAAACCAGCCCAAGCCCUUACCCAAAAGAUGUGAACCAAUUUGAAUGGCCCAUUGACAAUUUCUAAAGCAGCACAUGAAUAAAGGUGGGGCUUCACUGCACUGGGGCUCUGUUAACCAAUGAGCAAAGACUUUUUGCAUCAUAAAUACUGGACUGAUUUUGAAAGAAUUCACUCUCCGAAAUUUCUGAAGCAAGAAGGUUCCUGCUACUUCCCACAGAAAUCUACCAGCAGAAAUCUACUGAACUUCCGAAGAGCAUAUUUCUUGGCCAUCCAUUGAAUCAAAAGUAAUUCUAAUUGCUACCUUCUACUUCUAAAGCGCUGUUAUUCCUUGGCAAUAGCCUUUAAAAGCAAUUUUAAUUGCUAUUUCUGAUCAAGAAGGGUUUUCUCUUCAAAAAGCCUUUUUAAUUUGCUAUAUUUGAUUUGACCAUUCUGCCUAGAGAACUAAAGCUAACAUUCUUAAUUUGCUCAAUUUGAUUUGACCAUUCUGCCUAGAGAGCUAAAGCUUACAUUCUUAAAGGUUAUUGUUCUAAUUUGUCUUUCUUCUGAACAGCCAUAAUUCUUCCAGGGAUUCAUCUUCACUCACUGUCUCAUCUUAAGAAAUGGCUGGGGAAAAGAAAUCUGCAGCUGCACAUAGACACUAUCUACUCUGUCCAGUUUGUUUGAGGACCCAAGAGUCUCUAUCCUGUCACCUGCGCAGAGUCUGCAUGAAGGAUAAGACACCACCACAUAUCCUAGAGGUGGUUGAAAAGGCCAAGAAAGAUGUGUGUGACCUCCUGAAGAAUCGACGGGCUUUUAGUUAUGCAGUCCUGAAGCAAAUCGUCUCAUCACCAAAUCCACUCGAAGGAUUGAUUGAGGAGCUGAAAUACAAUCACUUGUUUGUGACAGGAGUCCCUCCUCCUCUGCCCAUUGGUAAUCCAAGGUUGGUCACCGAAACCCUUUCUGAAUGCCCUGGGGAGGCACCCGGAGAAUAUAAUCAAAAUAAUUAAAUAUGUACACUCAACCCAGCGCGUUGCAAAUUAGAUGGGGCAAUAUUCUGGCUCAAGUAAUAAUUGCACUGUCUAAUCAUCUUCUUCCAGUUACUGAUGGCGUCAUCGCCCUACUUGAACCAGAUGCCCUCACCAACCUCCAUACAAUUGUAACAAUUCAAAAGAUGCAACAGGAUGCUUUGAGAUCCAUAUUUUGGAACACAAGUUAAAGGUGUUUUUUUUUUUUGUGGUUUCAGGAAAUAAAAUAAUCCUCAUAAUAAGUAGAUUGUCUUUAUUAGAACACGGGCUGUGGUGGGACAAGUUAUUUUGUUGAACAGUUUACUCAAAGGGUUUUACUUCAGUGAACAAUGCAGACGAUUAUGCUGAGCAUGUGCAUGUAGAGAAGAACAGCAUCUGGUUAAAAGCAGUACCAGGGUCUUUUCUGCCUUGCAUUCUUAAAAUGAGUUUCUUGACUUGCAGUAGUUACAGGUCCGUGGUUAGUCAGCUACUCUGAUCAUGGGAAAGCCACAACGUUGAAGUGACUGUACUACAGAGCGGGUGGGAUGCACGGGGCGGAUCAUUCUGCACAUGCGUUAAUUGCGAUAAAAAGUAAAAAAAUAAACUUAAAGCAUGCCCCCGGUGCGUUUGACAGUUAACAUGGGGGCUGAGAAGGUGGUCUAAAUAAAUGAUA